rnacentral:rRNA from 1 species
UGAGGAACAUGACCUUCGGCGGGGGAUAGCCGGCCCAACGGCCGGGUAAUACCGCGUACGACCACAUGGGGACAUCCCUGAGUGGUGAAAGCAGCAAUGCGCCGAUGGAGUGCCUCGCGGCCUAUCAGCUAGUUGGUGAGGUAACGGCUCACCAAGGCGACGACGGGUAGCUGGUCUGAGAGGAUGGCCAGCCACAUUGGGACUGAGACACGGCCCAGACCUCGUACGGGGAG